rnacentral:rRNA from 1 species
GACAAACGCUGACGGCGUGCUUAACACAUGCAAGUCGAACGGAGUGGCGAACGGGUGAGUAACACGUAGGUGAUCUGCCUUGCACUUCGGGAUAAGCUUGGGAAACUGGGUCUAAUACCGUAUAGUGCACGAUGAGCUCGCGGCCUAUCAGCUUGUUGUUGGGGUACUGGCCUACCAAGGCGUCGACGGGUAGCCGGCCUGUGAGGGUGUACGUCCACAUUGGGACUGAGAUACGCGCCAGACUCCUACGGGAGGCAGGUGUGGGGAAUAUUGCACAAUGGGCGGAAGCCUGAUGCAGCGACGCCGCGGGGGGGAUGAAGGCCUUCGGGUUGUAAACUCCUUUCGACAGGGACGCGGUACCUGUAUAAGAAGCACCGGCUAACUACGUGCCAGCAGCCGCGGUAAUAC